UACGUAGGGUGCAAGCGUUGUCCGGAAUUAUUGGGCGUAAAGAGCUCGUAGGCGGUCUGUCGCGUCUGCUGUGAAACUCGGGGCUUAACCCCGGGCCUGCAGUGGGUACGGGCAGACUAGAGUGCGGUAGGGGAGACUGGAAUUCCUGGUGUAGCGGUGAAUGCGCAGAUAUCAGGAGGAACACCGGUGGCGAAGGCGGGUCUCUGGGACGGUACUGACGCUGAGAGCGACGAAGCGUGGGAGCGAACAGG
rnacentral:rRNA from 1 species